rnacentral:sRNA from 1 species
AUUUCCAUUGAGCUAGAUGCUUGUCCUUGUAGCAGUUGUUGUACCAUCUGUUUCAUUUCAGCAUCAGGAGCAGCAGGACCUUGGUUUUGCUGAGGUGCAAACCCAGGUGGUGGUGGCGGCUGGUAGUUCCCCUGGAAUAGCUGCUUGGGAACGAAACCUUGGUUGUAGGGAACAAAAGGUUUGUUCUGACCUUGUUCUUGCUGUGGAGGAUACACUUGAUCCUGAGGAUUAGCGAUGUUGGUGUUGCGGUAGAAGAGGUUGGGGUUGUUGGUUUUGAAGUUGUUGUAUCCUUUGUAGCCACCCUAGUUGUUGUUGAUGUUGCUGACUGCUUCCAACUGGUUACCCUCCCCAUCUUGGACUUGAAACUGCUCGUCAUCAACAAGGAAGUGCACAAGCUUCUGCUGGCUAAGAAGAAUCUUGUCCAGCUUGUCAUUCAGCGCUUUGAUCUCCUUCGUGUGUUUGUCAUCAGAGUCAACUGUGCCUCUGACGGUCCUAUCACAGUUCUCGUUGUAAUUGCCAUCUGAUUGAGCAAGGUUCUCAACCAAUUCCCAGUCUUCUUCAACAUCUUUUUUCUGGAUAUUUCCAUUGCUGGCGGUACCCAGAAGCAUUCUGAUGCGUGGUAGGACUCCUCUGUAAAGAGUGCUGAGCAGAGAGGCUUUAGUAAAGCCAUGAUGAGGGCAUUGGUUGGUGUAACCCUUGAAACGCUCUCAUGCUUCACAAAAGCUUUCACCAGCCUUCUGUAAAAAGCCAGAGAUCUCAUUUCUGAGUCUUGCAGUUCUGGCAUUGGAGAAGACUUUGAUAGAAAAGCCUUCUUGCAAUCAUCCCAGGUGGUGAUUGAAUCAUGGGGCAGAUUCUUCUCCCAUAUUUGUGCUUUGUCGCCCAAGGAGAGUGGAAACAAACGAAGCUUGAAUCCGUCUUCACUGACACCAUUGAUCUUUGUUAGGUUGUAGAGCCUAUCGAAUUCAUCAAGGUGGUCGAGUGGAUCCUCCAUUGGCAGACCAUGGAAUUUGUUCCCCUGAAUCAUCGAGAUGAGACCACUCUUAAUCUCGAAGUUGUUGUUCUGGAUAGCAGGAGGUGCAAUUCCUUUUCUCUAACGGUGAUCACGUGGUGCAUCUCCAGAACCAAUGUUGGCAGGGCCAUUUUGUUGAUUCUGUUCGUCAGUCAUAUCGAGUGGUUGAUGAGGUACAAGGUUCACUGUGUUUCUCCUUUCUCUGAGUUCGCGAGCUAUGCGGUCAAUGUUGUCGUUGAAAAGGAGGUUCUGAUUGCCUGUUGAUUGAGUUCGCAUACAGCAGAGGUGUACAUGGAUCAAGAAGACAACAAGAAAAACACACAGUUAGCAACCAGAUUGAAAAUUGAAAAAGAACUUGAUCUAAGCAAGUCUGAAAUCUCAAAUGUAACAAACAAACACCCAAUUGGCAACGGCGCCAAAGUGAUAACAGGUUUUUUAGUCAAUUAAUCCUAAAGCACUAUCAUGUCGUUGUAGUAUUUUAGGUUGUCAAUCCAAAUGGGUGUGAUCCUAACAAUCAAGAUGUGAUCAGAAGUCACUAAGUCAAGCCAAGUAAUAACAGGUUUUGGUGUGUUCUAGCAGUCCUAAGUGAACAUGCAGAAAACAGAAAAUCAAGCAGAAACAAUAAAACACUCGAGCAACACAGCUCUUUGCGGAGCAUUGGGUGAGGUCGAGUGACAAGUCGAGUAGCAGACAGAAAACAAAACACAUGGAUACUCGACCGCAUAGUCUGUUGCCAGACAACUGGGUGGUCGAGUAUAAGGGCGAGUAACAAAAAAAAGAAUUGCAGAAACUAAGCAGUAGAUGACAAGAUGCAGUAAACAACAGUAGAGUAAACAAAGAAUUCAAUCAGAUAAAGAAUUUCCGAGGAUGGGGUAAUUGAGUAGUUUCGCUUCCUCAGUUUACAGGUGAUUGACAUGCUCAAUAAAUUAACCCUCGACAACAAGUUCAUUAACCAAAUCUAAGUGCCACCGCAACAGAGACCCUCAAGUUAACCUAGUCCUAGACUCAAUCACCAUUGACGAGAGCUAACCUAACAGGCAUUACGAAUCAACAUGUUAAAGCCAAAACGCUCCCUGCAACCAAUACCUUUGUACAGGGCCACGAAUCUCUGGAAUUAGUGGUUCAGAAAGCAAUAGGCAUUAAGAACAACUAAUCCAGAAGGGAUCUAUCAAUCAAUACUUAACCACCUAGCAUACUGAGAAUUCUACACUACUCUAACCCAUCCUCAGAAACCUAUUCACUACUCAGACAUCAUUGUAGAGAACAUAAACGUUGAACAGGAUGAAAACAUGAUAACAACAAUGUAAUAGCAAAAUGAUAACAGGAUGAACAACAGUAAACGAAAUCAAAAA